rnacentral:rRNA from 1 species
CCCUUAGAUGUCCUGGGCCGCACGCGCGCUACACUGACGGAGCCAGCGAGCUUACCCCUUUGCCGAAAAGCCUGGGUAAUCUUUUGAACUUUCGUCGUGAUGGGGCUAGACCCUUGCAAUUAUUGGUCUCCAACGAGGAAUUCCUAGUAAACGCAAGUCAUCAGCUUGCAUUGAUUACGUCCCUGCCCUUUGUACACACCGCCCGUCGCACCUACCGAUUGAAUGGUCCGGUGAAAUCUUCGGAUUGAGACUUUGAUUUGUUUACUCAAAACGCUGUUUCAAGAAGUUGAUUAAACCUUACCAUUUAGAGGAAGGUGAAGUCGUAACA